AUGGCUCAGAACGAACGCUGGCGGCGCGUUUAAGCAUGCAAGUCGAGCGGCAAGGGCCUUCGGGCCCCUAGAGCGGCGGACGGGUGAGUAACACGUGGACAAUCUGCCCCCCGGCCCGGGAUAGCCCAGGGAAACCUGGAUUAAUACCGGAUGAGACGGGACCCGCGAUGGCGGGAUCCGGGAAAGGCGCUGCGGCGCCGCCGGGGGAUGAGUCUGCGUCCCAUUAGCUGGACGGCGGGGUAACGGCCCACCGUGGCGACGAUGGGUAGCCGGCCUGAGAGGGUGGACGGCCACAUUGGAACUGAGACACGGUCCAGACUCCUACGGGAGGCAGCAGCUAAGAAUCUUCCGCAAUGGGCGAAAGCUUGACGGAGCGACGCCGCGUGAACGAAGAAGGCCGUGAGGUUGUAAAGUUCUUUUCGGGAGGGGGAACAACCGUGGCAGGGAAUGGCCGCGGGAUGACGUGAAUCCCGGAAUAAGCCCCGGCUAACUACGUGCCAGCAGCAGC
rnacentral:rRNA from 1 species